rnacentral:rRNA from 1 species
CAGCCGCCGCGGGAAUACGGAGGGGGCUAGCGUUGUUCGGAAUUACUGGGCGUAAAGCGCACGUAGGCGGCUUUGUAAGUUAGAGGUGAAAGCCUGGAGCUCAACUCCAGAAUUGCCUUUAAGACUGCAUCGCUUGAAUCGCGGAGAGGUGAGUGGAAUUCCGAGUGUAGAGGUGAAAUUCGUAGAUAUUCGGAAGAACACCAGUGGCGAAGGCGGCUCACUGGACGCGUAUUGACGCUGAGGUGCGAAAGCGUGGGGAGCAAACAGGAUUAGAUACCCCAGUAGUCCCUGUCUCUUAUAC